rnacentral:rRNA from 1 species
AUUUUCAAGUCGAUGGAAGUUUGAGGCAAUAACAGGUCUGUGAUGCCCUUAGACGUUCUGGGCCGCACGCGCGCUACACUGACGGAGCCAGCGAGUCUAACCUGUGCCGAGAGGUAUGGGUAAUCUUGUGAAACUCCGUCGUGCUGGGGAUAGAGCAUUGCAAUUAUUGCUCUUCAACGAGGAAUUCCUAGUAAGCGCAAGUCAUCAGCUUGCGUUGAUUACGUCCCUGCCCUUUGUACACACCGCCCGUCGCUACUACCGAUUGAAUGGCUUAGUGAGGCUUCCGGAUUGAUUAACUGGAGAGGGCAACUUUUCUGGUUGAACGAGAAGCUAGUCAAACUUGGUCAUUUAGAGGAAGUAAAAGUCGUAACAAGGUUUCCGUAGGUGAACCUGCGGAAGGAUCAUUAAGAAUUGAUAAUAUUUGUGAAAUUUACACAGCAAACAAUAAUCAUACAAUCAAAACAAAAAUAAUCAAAACUUUUAACAAUGGAUCUCUUGGUUCUCGUAUCGAUGAAGAACGCAGCGAAACGCGAUAUUUCUUGUGAAUUGCAGAAGUGAAUCAUCAGUUUUUGAACGCACAUUGCACUUUGGGGUAUCCCCCAAAGUAUACUUGUUUGAGCGUUGUUUCUCUCUUGGAAUUGCAUUGCUUUUCUAAAAUUUCGAAUCAAAUUCGUUUGAAAAACAACACUAUUCAACCUCAGAUCAAGUAGGAUUACCCGCUGAACUUAAGCAUAUCAAUAAGCGGAGGA